rnacentral:rRNA from 1 species
CCUACGGGAGGCAGCAGUGAGGAAUAUUGGACAAUGGGCGCGAGCCUGAACCAGCCAAGUCGCGUGAGGGAAGACGGUCCUAUGGUUUGUAAACCUCUUUUGUCGGGGAGCAAAAGACGACACGCGUGGCGUUCCGAGAGGACCCGAAGAAAAAGCAUCGGCUAACUCCGUGCCAGCAGCCGAGGUAAUACGGAGGAGGCGAGCGUUAUCCGGAUGUAUUGGGUUGAAAGGGUGCGCAGGCGGAAGAUCAAGUCAGCGGUAAAAUUGAGGGGCUCAACCUCUUCGAGCCGUUGAAACUGGUUUUCUUGAGUGAGUGAGAGGUAUGCAGAAUGCGUGGUGUAGCGGUGAAAUGCAUAGAUAUCACGCAGAACUCCGAUUGCGAAGGCAGCAUACCGGCGCUCAACUGACGCUCAUGCACGAAAGUGUGGGUAUCGAACAGGAUUAGAUACCCGGGUAGUC